rnacentral:lncRNA from 1 species
CUUAAAACCGAGGGCUGUGCGUACGGUGGUGGGGAGGUUGGUCUCUGUAGGGCCAAAACUAAUUCACCACAACGAGGAGGAAAGCCCAGAGCUCAUUGCUGAACCUAUUGUUGACGCGUUGCUAUUCCGUACGCGUGUUUAACAGCUCUAAAAGCCAUGCCCUGAAGCUGAUCUACUGAUAAAUUGCUCUGCAGCUCCCUCUAAUGGAUCGUUUGGCCAGACAGGGGCUCGGGGCAGCAGAUGCGAUAAAGCAGCGCCCGCUGCAGGGUAACACCGAGAGAGCUCUGCAGCACCAUCGUUGCCGCUGUUAUCUCUCCCCGUCCAUCCGUCACUUCACUCUUAUCUCAGCAUCUGCUGCAGCUCUGCUUCUAAGAGCUGAGAGGAGCAGGCACAGCUAAACCAGAAGGAGGCCCACAGCUCACAGACGAGAGCACCUGAGGUGACUUGUGGCGAUGGAUUCAUUCAGGAAAUAAUCUUUUGGUCCACGUAGGCCAUGCACAGACUGGUUUCUGCUUUGGGAAUCACACAGGAGAGCUGUCCAACAAUGAGAAGUUAAGGAAUGGUGCAUGGAUUAAGCCUUUCCACAGAAUGACAGAAUCGUUAAGGUUGGACGAGACCUCUCAGAUCACCCAGUCCAACCACCAGCCCAUCUUCUCCAUGCCCACUGACCACGUCCCUCAGUGCCACAUCCACAUGAGUCUUGAACACCUCCAGGGACGGUGACUCCAACCCCUCCCUGGGCAGCUGUGCCACUGCCAGAUGCCAUGGGACAGCUGCAUGAGCAUCUGAGACAGGCAGCCUGCAGUUAUAUUUCCCUAAGCUGACCAUGAAGGGACAAAGCAGCUUCUUAUGAAGUGGAGAUGACAACGCUUUGCUGGUGGUAAAAAAUAAAAAUAAAAAAUAAAAAAAUAGAUCUAAUGUUGUGAUUGUACAGCUGGGGAAAAAAAUAGUCGGCCAAGUAUGUCAGACAACAAAAAUAAGCAAAAAUUACUUUGAUUUGGCUUCUACUAAAGGGACUAAAAAUAAAUACUUCUUUCAGAGGCCCCUUCUCAGAACAGGGGAUCGUGGAGGACCCACAAUCCUUAUAUCAAAACACUGAAUUAGUGAAUCUGGA